UGAGCAAUGUUGUUGUAAAGUGGCAGCCAUUGUUACUCAAUUUAUUUAAUUUCUUUACCAAUAUUUUUAGCAAUGAAAGAGAGAGAGAGCCUGGUUAAAGCGAGUUCUUCAUAACUUUUGUUUCGACUGAGCUUAAGUUUUCCAACUGCAAGCCAAUAAUUCUCAGACGACUCAGGGCCAACUACUGAACAUUCGGUUUUUGAUUUUCUAUGAACAUAUAUCCAUAGCUAAAUUUAGCAAAUAUCUUCUUCGAAAAGAACGCACCCGAGGAGAUGUUUAAAUUACGGAUUGCUUAAACAAAGAUCAUUUACGGUAGCCAACAUAUCAAAUCGAGUUUUGCGGAUGUCCUUAAGUAAUUGAAGAAAUUAUUUUAAAAUUUUUCAUGUUUCUUCUGAAGAGUUCUGGCUUCGGUUUUUCAAGGGUUCUACAGAUGCUCGUGCACCUGUAUCUGCGGUUCGGAUAAAUUUCGAAACCAAACAGUAAGACGAACAUUUGCUAAUGCAUAAUAAAUUAGAAUUACAACAUAAUAUACCUUGUUAAAUUUAAAGAUGGAUCGUGUCAAUUUUCAAACUUCAACUGGUUGUAUAUAUGUAAGAAGUAGACGGACAUUGCAUUGACCAAAGAGAUAAAUAGCUUCUGGCGUAUUUUUCAGUGCUUGAUGUUAAAAUUGUCAGAAACAUCGGGAAUUCUGCCUAGUCGACCAACGACCACAUCACAAGUAGACAAAUGCGUAGAUAUAUAAAUAAAUUGAGUUCAAAUUUUACGUGGUCUAAGUAUAUACGUAGAUAUUGAGACCCAGAGAGAUAUUGAGAUAUUGAGAUUCAGCGGAAGGCGUGACCGGGUAUAGCCUUGUUUCAAAUGAGGACGAAUAACAGGAAAUAGGAGUUUUCGCGUCAAGCCUUUGCUUUCUAUCUCAGUUAUUGCAGGUAGAAAUAUCAGAUAGCGUAGAUCUGUAGCGAGAAUUUCGAUCGAUCUAGGAUGCCUUGCUAGCUCAGUAUAUAUGUAAGGAAGUAGUACAUUAUUUCGCAUCGCAAUAAAUAUUCGUGAAAUAUUCCAUAGCUUAACAUAGUUUAGUAGUUAAAAUGCAUUCAUUGGAUUACAAAUACACAUUUAUUUCAAUGCUUCACUAAGUUUAUGUUGAAGCUAAUAGGAUCGAAAUAAAUAUUUUUAUGUUAAAAAUGUAUGAAAAUGCUUUCCUGCGUCCAUAAUUAUCAAGGUAUCGUAACGAGCAUAUAUUUUCUAUUUUAUUUAUAUGUAAAUUUCUAAAUCUAUAUAUAGAUGUUGAACUUGUCUUUUUCUUUCUACUAUUCCCUCAAUUAUUCCACAUAUAAUAUAAAAACAGCAGAUUAUUUACGCUUGAAGAGCAACCAAUGCGGCUACAAAUGCAGUUAAGAGGAAGAAAACUUAAAUGAAUCAUUCAUCAGUCAUCGAUUGACCGCUUACGUAGUGAAAAAAAUAUGGUCAAAGUCCACCCUGACGUGGUCAGCAUAAUUGAUUCAGUAACAAUGAAAACAACAACAACAAGUACACAUUUUGUAUAUCUGAACAUUCUUGAAUCAAUGUGCUUCAUAUUUCCAAGGAAUUCAUAUCGUCUAUGGUGUGCAUUUUCUUCGACGUAGAAAAAGGAAACUGUAUGAAUCAUAAUUUAUUUCGCUUUUUUUUUUCUUUUUUUUUUUUAAAUAAGAAAGUAAUUCAUAAGAUACUUUAAAUUAAACAUUCUCAGUUUGUGAAUUCUUUGCCGAGUACUUAAUCACUGACUGAACCCAAUUAAUCUGGAUUUUUUUUUUUUUUUUUACUUCUCUGAAGAUGUCUUACAUUACACAUAACUUAUCAUUAGCUACCUUCAUAUUUACGCGAAUUCCCUUCGCUUCUUUAUUAAGUAUUUUUCUUGGUCUUUAGAUGUUAUUUGCAAGUAUAUUAAAAUAAAAUUGCGAUUGUUACGUAAUGCACUUCGGUUCUUUAAUCUGUUUUUGAUUAUGUCAGUUCUUUAAUGUGGUUAGCUCUGUUGGUUUAUUUAUUGAGCACACGUACGCAAUUGUGGUUUGUUUGCGUAAUUUAAAGCUUUAUCGUGUAAGUUUUAUUUAAUUUCAUUAAGUAAAAUCAUCUAUAGAAGAAUAAAUAAAUUGAGUUACGAAUAAAAAUUCCAACUCAUUAACUUUAUUCUCUUAUUGAUUGGUUCCUUAUUGAAUUCCAAAUUCACAGCGAAUUUCAUAGUUAGUUAGUUAAAUUGGUGCAUCUUCCGUCGUUAGGUAUGUUAUUUACCUAAGAGAUUUUUUCUUUCAUGCCACUACAAUUGUUUAUACCUUACGCCGCUUGUGGUGCAAAGAUGUAUUCAAUCUGUGCAGAUAUAUUCAACACCCAGAAGGACUUGAGAUAGAACCCUUUCCAAAGAUACCGAUUGAUUCAGAAUCACUUCUCAAUCUCUACCUGGCCACCUACUCCACUUGUUUCCUUAUAUUCAACCCACAGGCCCCAAUUGUUGAUAUAUUUCGAGGAAAUUUGGUACACCGACAUCUUUCAAUCCAAAGACGAACGCUAUUGAAAAUAAUUUGGAUCGCAAGACUUCUUCGAGCACUUUUCGUGUAGCGCCUUAUUUUGAACAGCCGUUAUAUGAAAAACUGUAAGAUCUGUAAUGGCGGAACAUGGUCUAGUUUAGUGUUCUUAUUUGUUUUUAUUUAAAAUUCAAAAAACUUAAUCUUAUGUGUUUUUGCUUUUAUCGAUUUUGAAUUAUUUUCAUUUUUAUAUAGUGGUUUUACUCGUUAUAUAAACUCAGUUCAAGACUUUGCUAAACCGUGGCAUUAUGUAUGCUUAUGUCAUUCUUUUUUUGCUUCGAUUAUUUUUUGAUUACUUCUGGCUUAGAAUGUUUCAGAGAAAAUUCAGGCAAUAAAAAUAACUGAUCCAAUCCGAAUUAUUUUCAAGGGCGCAUAUCCUUGGGCUACAACGUGUUCGUGUACCGAAUUUCUGCAAAAUAUCUCAAAAAUUGUGCCUUGAAGCGUGACGGACAACCGAACGUGCAAGGUUAAAUCGACUCAGAAAGUGAUUUUGAAUCGAGCGGUAUAACGGGAACGUGGGCCUAUCUCACGUCGUUGCGUACAAAUCCGCACAAAUUUAAUAUAUCCUUGGACCGCAAAUGGUGUAGGGUAUACGAGGCAAACAAGCAAAUAGUUUAGCAACGGAUUGAGCCUCUGCAACUAUGCAACGUCAUACAUUUAUUGCAUGCAACUCUUUGUGAAUGCAAUGUUUUGAAUCCUCUCACUUGCUCCCGCACAACAAAACAAAUUUAUAUAUAAUUUUGCGAUUACCGAGGUACUUUUGAAGCUUCGACCGAAGAUCAUUGGCUUCGAGAGGCAAGGACGCUUAUUGCAAAUCCUAAAUACUAUUGGUGGUGAAAAAUGGUGAAUUUUUUUUAAAUUCUAGUCUCAUUCUCCCACAAUCACCGCUAAAUCAUUACAAGUAUCCGCCAUAGAAAUUUAGGGAUAAACGUGAACACAUAUUGUGCAGUUUAUCAAACAAAUAUUCAAAGUUCUUUGUGACAUUUGACAUUAAUGAAAAUCCGGAUGAAUUUAAAUAUAAUUAUUCUCUCUUGUGUUAUGUUAUUUUAUUAAACCAUGUAAACUACGUCAAGUAGCAUUUUUCCACUUUUUGUUAGAUAUUAAAGAUUAAUUUUUCAUUAAAUUUUAUUCUGAGCUCGUACAACGUACAAGUAAGCGUUAAAACGGAUAAAAAGCAGUUAAGAAGAAAGGAGAAAAUGCGUGCAUCAUAAUUCUUCCGAUAAUCCGCCUUGCACCGAAAUUUUUAAUCAUUAAUUUAAAUGUAAUUUCUCUCUCUCUCUCUCUCUCUCUCUCUCUCUCUGUUUUAUUAAAUUA